UACAGAGGGGGCUAGCGUUGUUCGGAAUUACUGGGCGUAAAGGGCGCGUAGGUGGCCUGUUAAGUCGAACGUGAAAUCCCCGGGCUCAACCCGGGAACUGCGUCCGAUACUGGCUGGCUUGAAUCCGGGAGAGGGAUGCGGAAUUCCAGGUGUAGCGGUGAAAUGCGUAGAUAUCUGGAGGAACACCGGUGGCGAAGGCGACAUCCUGGACCGGUAUUGACACUGAGGAGCGAAAGCCAGGGGAGCAAACGGG
rnacentral:rRNA from 1 species